UACGUAGGGUGCGAGCGUUAAUCGGAAUUACUGGGCGUAAAGCGUGCGCAGGCGGUGCUGUAAGACCGAUGUGAAAUCCCCGGGCUUAACCUGGGAACUGCAUUGGUGACUGCAGCGCUGGAGUAUGGCAGAGGGGGGUGGAAUUCCACGUGUAGCAGUGAAAUGCGUAGAGAUGUGGAGGAACACCGAUGGCGAAGGCAGCCCCCUGGGCUGACACGUGACGCCUCGAGGCACGGAAAGCGUGG
rnacentral:rRNA from 1 species